GGAGCGCCUUGCCCCGCUCACCCGGGCUGCAGCAGAGGCCCAAGACCGCGCAGCGGCCCCCGCUCCCGCACGCCUUCUGGCCGGACUGGCAGGGCGACGGCAGGGAACCCAACCUGUAGGGAACCCAACCUGAGGCAGAAUGGAAGAAAUGAGAAGCACUGUGAGAGACCAGCCUCACUGGUGGGCCAGUCCCCGACCCCUGGGAGAAGAGAACGGGACAGCUCCAGACUCUCCUGCCCUCUUGUUGAGGAAGGUGAAGAGGCUGAUGGGGCCAAGCAGGUCACAGAGCUCAUCUGACCCUAGUCACUGGCAUGAGUCACUGGCAUGAGCUGUCCAGCACCCAGGAGCCGGUCAGGCUGACCUGCAUUACAAAUCAGCAGCCAGUCCUCUCUCACCCAGAUUAGCUUAUUGGCAUUCAGGGCCUAGAAGUCCAAGGGCCUGACCCAGCAGUGGCCCAGAGAGGUCUCUCACCUGCUCUGUGGGCACGAUGACCUCACUUAAGCUAACACAUGUGCAUAAAUUACCAUAGUAUUAUGUCCCCCAGAUGGGCUGCAUCCCUUCACCUGUUCAACAACCCCUCUUCUGAAGAUGCUCCGGGUCCCAUUACAAAUGCCUGGAAACAGCAGCAACAAAACACAAAAACCUCUGCCCUCAUGGGGCUUAUAUUCUAGUGGAGGAAGAGAGAUGUUAAACAAUAAACACAUUUCAGUUAGUUAGGAAACAAGUAUAAACAAUAAACAUACUUCAGUAACAACAUACAUAUUGCAGUAGAUUAGUAAGUGCUACAGAGAUAAAAGGGAGGCCUGUUGCGAUUUCACCGAGGGUGGUCAGUGUAGACUUCUUUGUGAAGAAGAGAAAAUAAACCAUGCAGAUAUCUGAGGGGA